UUGCGGCAAACAGUUUUCGCAUCACAAUCGCCAGGUUGAUUAAGAGCUUUUGCCCAGGACAAGUGUUCAGUGUCAGCACGUGAGCUGCUCAGUCAUCGAGAUGCUUUACUUGCCGUUACAUUUUCCAAAAGAGCAAAAACCUCAGGCUGCAGAUGAAAGGGUUCCCUGAAUCACAUCCGCGUAUGUCUAUGGUAGAGUAGAAAACUUUCCACCAUGCCGGUGCACUUUUAAAGGGAGUCUGUGUCGCCCGAGGCGAGCAAUUACUCCACAUUGUAACCACGACACAAAAGUGACUUUAGCGAGUGUAUCGACUGCGUAACCUCAAAGGAAAUCUCCAUUCAGGCGCUCAUAAAAGAACGUCUCAUGAGCCGCGAUACGACGAGGGAUUAGCGAAGAGAAGCAGGUGAAGUCCUAUGGCUAUGCGCGUUUGCUCAGCUGUACGCCGCCGCGCCCAAGUAACCCAAGGUCGGGGAUGUAGCGCUCCAUUUUGCUCUUUUUCCACCCUUCCGCCUUGCUAUUCUUUAUAUUUGCACAGCCCAAGCUCGGGUUUCUGGAGCGGGCCGAUCUUCCUGGGAUAACCCGCCCACCCCUGCCCAUUCUUCACCUUGGACCCCCAAGCCCCGCCCCUGCUGAAAGUAAACACGGAAAUACAAUAGGUGCAAGCGCACAGACGUAUAAUGUCAAUAUGUGAGUAUAAGAUAAACAGCAGACCUGAGUUCACACGCACGUUGAGUGAUUGCUGACCCAGAUGACAAAUGCAGAGCUGAGUUGUGACUAUGCCUGAGCCUAUCCAGGGAAAACCCGAUCAUAGGUCACAUGCAUCCAUCCAUCCAUCCAUCCAUCCAUCCAGCCCUAGGUUUAAUUUGGAAUUUCGCAUUAUGGUUAGUUUAAUUUACUUGUGAUUUCAGUUUUUUUUAUCAUUGAGUUAACUCGUUUUUAAAUUGUGUGUAUUUGUUGUGAAAAAUAUUGUGUAAUAGAGUGAAGUCAACAACAAUUCCCAAACAACUGCUCAACUAUCCUUCCUCAUGACCAAAAAGUCCAACCGAAAUAAAUAUGAUCAAAAGACUAUUUCAAAGUAACCCCGAAAACCAUCGAAAAUAAAAUUAAUUGACAAGGAUGAAAACGAUAGACAUAUUAUAGUUAUCUUUCUAGAUGAGGAAUGUAUUUUCAGUUGGAUAUCCUUUUAAUUUAAUUUUGUUGAUUUUUUUCUCACUUUUAACUUUGAUUAUUUUUUUAAUUUCUCUUAACUAUACUAAACCAUAGCAAAGACAAACGCCAUCCUCCUUUAAUGAAGCAAAUAAUGAAAGAAAUAAAAUCAUUUGUUACUUUACACGACAUUACUUUUAGAACAGACAGCGGCUAAAUUAUUGUCACAACAGGUUCUGAUGUGAUAUAGUAGAUGUCUGCCGAGGUGUGUUUACUGUAAUAUUAUCUGCAAUGGGACACCGUAGACAGCCUGAAGCAACCCUGUGAGCCAGAUGAGUAGGCCAUAGCGUUAAUAUCAUACAGUUCUACAGAUUGCACAUCAAAGUGUCAAAGCGCAGUUGAUUUUAGGGUACGUUUCUCUCCCCCAGGGUUCAAACGAUUUUGCUUGAUUCGUUCCAUCGAGACGGUGCUGAAGUUCACCGCUAUGGAAACAAGAUAAUUGAAUACGUCCCAAAAUUUUCCAUACAUGCCGCAGCCACUAUUAUCUAAAGUAACAUUCUGUCAGUUACGCUAGUGCACAGGUGUCAAAGUCAAGGCCCGGGGACCAAAUACGGCCCGCCACAUCAUUUUAUGUGGCCCGCAAAGACAAAUUGUGCAUCAAAGUUGUAUCAUUGCUAGAAUUUCAAAUUGUCUUCACUUUUAAUAAUGUCUUUUUUUUAAAAAUAUUUGACCAGUUUUUACUCCUCUGAUUUGAAAACGAGUUAUUUGUCAGUCUGUUUUUUAGCUUUUACUGUAUAUAAUAUGAGGUGCUCAUACAUUUAUUUGGGUUGACAGUAAUAAUGUCCCUCCGAAAGAAGCUAUGACGACAAUGCGGCCCGCAAAAAAAAAAGAGUUUGACACCCCUGAUCUAAAGUAACAUUCUGUCAGUUAUGCAGGUGGAUCACAUUGCUGCUGAAAUCAUGGGAAAUGUGUUGCUACUUAUUACUCAUCAUAUCAAAGUUAACCUUGAGACCAAGUCAGGUUCUCCUUUGCAUGUGUGAGCCCCUCCGGAGCCCCAGGGUGCCACGCCGAGGUGUGAAUGCUAACACGGCCCAAUCCGUAUGCCACAGAGAAAAAACAAUCCAUGCUAAUCUGCUGCCCCAGACAGGAGUCCAGUUAGGCCAAUCAGCGGAGGAAUCAUCAGGAACGGCGGGGGCUCACGGAAGCCCAGAUCGGGGCGCCUGAUUGCGGCACGGGUGAUUUGCGGCCCCAGAACAAUGAUGGCUGCCCAGCUCAACGCCAGAGGAGGCUGCACCACAAACUCACCUGACACUCAGACCAAAGUCUUGUAUGACGUAUUACCUGAAAGCUAUAUGUGGGUUAAAGUAAAGAAAAUCACUUUGAUAGAAGAAAAAGUCUUUGGCAUUCGUUCCAGAUAAUCAGAUGUAAUUUUCUGAUAUUAAAUGUACUUGUAAAUAAUGGAAAUUAAAGGUAACAAAAUCAAAGGCAAAAUGGCCACCCUGAUGGAUAAAAACUUUAUUCAUAUUCCGUGCUUAGACUAGUGGGAACACAUGGAACACGUUUAUUGUAAAGAAAAUGUUUGACUUGACAUUACCGUUAAGUUCAUUACAUUAACUUCAGCGGUGUACAGAUGUUGAAGUUGUCCGCAUGUUAGCUAGCACACAUUAGCUUGGCUAUCACGCGAUUCAUGUGCCUCAACAAGCUCAGAACUGAAAAAAAAGAUGACGUUCGGACUGCACUGGAUUCUUUCUCUAACCACAUUGCGCUUUUUCAGAAUGGCUGGGAGCUUUUGAGUGCCAAUAGUUCUACCACGACAGAAUCAGCAGUAGGUGAUUUCGCGGGACUUCUUAUUUAGUUUUCGGAGGUUCCGGCUUUUUCAACUAUUUGCAAUAACUAUACGCUGACAAACUCUUUGUAGUCUAAAAGAGGUUCACUUGUUGUCUCCUUCAACGUAACAAGGAAGUGGAGGGGUGUUGAGUCCGUGCCCGCCAAGUUUUCACCUAAACAUUCCCCCGGGGCUUGCAUUUGACCCUCCGCAUUUCAACCAAAACAACACAGCAAGCCACUUCCUAUGAACUGGGCCUAGAUAAAACGGGAAGCUACCUUGUGCCCCGCAGCAUAAUAUGGUAAUACCACGGGAAUGACUGAGGUUUGGAAGGGGGGGGCGGGGGUUCAGAUCUUAAGCGUGCAUAAGGGAGUAUUCUUUAUAUUGCCCUCCCUUUGAUCUGCAGUCAUCAUUUACCAAAGAGAUGGAAGUCCAAAGGUUGAAAGUUCACUUCAAAGUGACUCUCAAAAGUUCCCGUAAGUUAGCAAAACACUAGCUAAUGCAUGAUAAAACGUUAUAAAAAACAACUGCAUGUUGAGAACUGUAUAUAUUGUGACAAGCCACAUCAGAAAAACAACUACGACUGUCUAUGACCUUUAGGGGUCGUGGCCUAAAGACGUCAGAUCAUGUCUCUGCGAGCGUCUGGACUUGAAUUCUGAUCAACUUCAGCUGCUUGAAAAUGUUCUUGGUUUGUGCUUGUGAGUUUGGAUAUGGAAGUGUCAAAACAAACCGGCUUGUCCAAGAUCCCAUCUGCAGGGUAACGCUUAACUUGCAUUGAGAAACACCUGAUGCGUACGUUGGAAUUUUAUCCACAUUAGGCCUGACUUCAAUCAUAACAUACAGGUAUGUGAUUUCAUGACGUGUACAGUAUGCCAAUUGUAUCGCUGCAAAGCACGCAUUGGAAAUCCAGCCUAUGGUGUGCUUCAACAAGAUCAUUUUUCAUGAAAUAUUUUAAAACAAUACUUGGCAGCCACACUUGUGACUCAAUUGAAAUUGGCUAACUGAUUGUGUCAGUUUAUGUUGUGCAACAUCACGUCACUGUUCUGCUAUAUUAUUGUUCACUUUUCACACUUUGUACUUAUUAUCAGGCUGUUUUAUAAAUCUGUAGUUGUUAUAUAUAUAAUUAUGGAAUAUAUAGCUGUAAAGUUAAAGCAGUUGACAGGUUGAUGUAAUAUUUGAGCUUAAAAUAGGAUAUAGAAUAUGUACAUUUACAUGUAUUUUGGUGAGUCCAGCAGAGCCACAUUGCUUACAUACUGUAAAUUACAUUCCAGCAAAGGCGUUCAGGAAAUAGCCUCGAGUCAAAUCUGCUGUUGCACAUGCCACUAACGUCGCAAAUUACUGCUGUUGCACAUAUACAUUUACUACUUGGUUCAUUGUUGUAGGAACUCUAAGUUAUCAAUGAAGUUGUCAUAUGGAAACUUUUUGAAAAGCCAAAGGAACCAGUUCUUACAAAGAUGUUCGACUAAUCUACUCUGGAAAGUGUGUAAUGUUUAACGUUCGGAAUUAGUGUGCGUUAGCAACCAAUGUUAGCAUACUUGCCUCCAGGAUUCCAGCGAAUCGGAUGUAAAACUUGAGACGCUUUUCUAGUUCACGCAAAUCUUUGUACCUCAGUUCUAAUAACUUUCAGUCAUGACAGCGAACAGAGUUCACCAGAAGUCACCCAGUGUAAAAUCAGUAAUCCUGUGCCCUGAGUGCGCCUUCCUAUAAAUAGAUAGACAUUUACGUUGAAAUAUUUUAUUUCAGUAUUCCGUGUUCUCUGGGUGUGAGGUGGUGUUGGCUAACCGCCACUGAUAGUGAUCCACAAUAGAUCGAUACAUACAGUAUCUUAAUAGCUCAUUGUCUUCUCGUUGCCUCAUCUUCUGAGCCCCAAAAAAAUGUGCCAUUGUCAUGAAACUAAUUAAAAUGAUUUGGCAAGUGUUUCAAAGUGCCAAGGCACUGAAGAAGGAAGGUUGCUCAUCCUUCAUGCAUGUAGAGAAGUACAGUAGCACCAUUAAGAAAGAGUCUUGGCCCUGGCUGGCUGUGUCUUUCUCGCCGCGGGUCGUGUGUGGGAGUGGAACGUGCUUUGACGUCUGAUACCACACAUACACAACAUUGCUCUCAAUGUAGACAACAGACAGGUGUGUACAUGUGCAACCCCCUCAUCGCCACCACACACCUUACAGGACAGAAGCAGUUUUGGUUUGAACCCACCCAAGUUUCUUGAUUUUUCAAAGGAUGAAUAAUAAAUGACAUUCUCCGUUUCAGAUUUGGAUUUUGCGUGUGGACGCUACGUAUAUGUGUGAGUAUUGUUGUAUGCAUUUUCUGUGUCGCUGCUCCAUUUGGUCCGAAUACGAUUGGAUGAGGUUGAGUAAGGUA